rnacentral:rRNA from 1 species
UUAGAGUUUGAUCCUGGCUCAGAACGAACGCUGGCGGCAGGCUUAACACAUGCAAGUCGAGCGCUCUCUUCGGAGGGAGCGGCGGACGGGUGAGUAACGCGUGGGAAUAUGCCCUGGGUGCGGAACAACCGCUGGAAACGGCGGCUAAUACCGCAUGACGACUAUGGUCCAAAGAUUUAUCGCCCAAGGAUUGGCCCGCGUUGGAUUAGGUAGUUGGUGAGGUCAAAGCUCACCAAGCCGACGAUCCAUAGCUGGUUUGAGAGGAUGAUCAGCCACACUGGGACUGAGACACGGCCCAGACUCCUACGGGAGGCAGCAGUGGGGAAUCUUGGACAAUGGGGGAAACCCUGAUCCAGCCAUGCCGCGUGAGCGAUGACGGCCUUAGGGUUGUAAAGCUCUUUCACCGGUGACGAUAAUGACGGUAGCCGGAGAAGAAGCCCCGGCUAACUCCGUGCCAGCAGCCGCGGUAAUACGGAGGGGGCUAGCGUUGUUCGGAAUUACUGGGCGUAAGGCGCGCGUAGGCGGACUGUUAAGUCGGGGGUGAAAUCCCGGGGCUCAACCCCGGAACUGCCUCCGAUACUGGCGGUCUAGAGUCCGUGAGAGGUUGGUGGAAUGGCGAGUGUAGAGGUGAAAUUCGUAGAUAUUCGCCGGAACACCAGUGGCGAAGGCGGCCAACUGGCACGGUACUGACGCUGAGGGUGCGAAGUGUGG